GUACACUCCUACGGGAGGCAGCAGUGGGGAAUUUUGGACAAUGGGGGCAACCCUGAUCCAGCAAUGCCGCGUGAGUGAAGAAGGCCUUCGGGUUGUAAAGCUCUUUUGUCAGGGAAGAAACGGUGGUGGCGAAUAACUACUACUAAUGACGGUACCUGAAGAAUAAGCACCGGCUAACUACGUGCCAGCAGCCGCGGUAAUACGUAGGGUGCAAGCGUUAAUCGGAAUUACUGGGCGUAAAGCGUGCGCAGGCGGUUGUGUAAGUCAGAUGUGAAAUCCCCGGGCUCAACCUGGGAAUUGCAUUUGAGACUGCACGGCUAGAGUGUGUCAGAGGGGGGUAGAAUUCCACGUGUAGCAGUGAAAUGCGUAGAUAUGUGGAGGAAUACCGAUGGCGAAGGCAGCCCCCUGGGAUAACACUGACGCUCAUGCACGAAAGCGUGGGGAGCAAACAGGAUUAGAAACCCUAGUAGUCCCA
rnacentral:rRNA from 1 species